AUAUUUUGCAACACAAUGUGUUUGAGUCAAAAAUUUUGUUUAAAUUUAUGUGGUUCUCACUAGUCACUUGUCACUUUGUUAAUUUAAGUUUACAUUACGUCCUUUAAAAUAUCUCGGUUUCUAAUUAUUGUGUCGAUUUUAUAAAUGAUGAAGCAAAGGUUCCCUUUCGUUUUUUCGAUGAAAUCUGUAUACUUAAACGUCGAGUUAAACGUCUGCUACGCCUCUAUUUCGUUAAAAUCAGUGAAAUGCCAAUCAAAUGAGAAAUUGAAUCAAUUUGGUACAUGUUUGCAAAUAAUUUGACUCUUGCUUUUUCUGACCUUCGUGCUUAUUUUACUAAUGUGGUAAGGACAGUCACAGAUCAUGUGAAACUUGCGAUCUAAGGGAGAGACAUAAACACAAAGCUUCCUUGUCUGGAGAAAUAGCAUCUACUUUGCCAGACCCAAUAGUCAGCAUUGUAGAAACUGCACAAGAAUACUGGCAAGGGCCUAAAGAAGUGGUGUCUAGUAGUAAGCAGGAUCCCAAAUACACAUUAGAAAAAUUAAAAAAUAGUGCACAAGGAAUACCAAAUAAAUCCAAAAAAGGUUUGAGGCAUGUAUCCAGAGUUAAAAAUAAAAAAAGAAAAUAAGAAGAAAUCAUAGGUAUCUCCAAGUAACACUCCAUACAGCUGCAUAAUAAAGAUUUCUUCAAAAACAUGAAUUAUAUGGUUCCCUGUAUCAAUUGUAAAAUGUGGGUACCUACUAGUCAGCAGCAUGUUUACAAUGCUACAAAUAUGAAUCUCGAUAUUGGUUCAAUCAUUGAAGACUGGACUCCAAGGCUCAAGGGGUUACACAUAAUGAUCGCAUUUGCCAAGAACUCGUCAACCUGUUGUUGAUCAAAGCCUCCAAUAGGAAUGAGCCUUAUCCUGGUGGACUGCAAGAUUAUCAUACUUCAGUAUUUUGUUCUUGUGCCAAAAAUAUCAAAGCCUGCCAGUUAUAACAUUAUUUCUUGCUAUAGCCCAAGUAUCUAAUAUCUGCUGGCAAAAAGCCCACAUUCAGAAACUGUCAAAUCCCCCAGCAAUUGCGAAAAUUGAUAAAAAAUCUGGAAAUGGACUUAGCUCUACAGAUGAACCUGCAAGUCCAUCUAGCAGCGAACUCGAUUGUGAUACACAAGAUUGUAAUGAAUUAGAAAUAUAAAUAUAAAUGGUUAUAGCCGUACACUGGACUCAUCAAA